rnacentral:rRNA from 1 species
UACGUAGGGGGCAAGCGUUGUCCGGAUUUACUGGGCGUAAAGAGCGUGUAGGCGGCCACGCAGGUCCGUUGUGAAAACUGGAGGCUCAACCUCCAGCUGUCGACGGAAACCGUAUGGCUAGAGUCCGGAAGAGGCGAGUGGAAUUCCUGGUGUAGCGGUGAAAUGCGCAGAUAUCAGGAGGAACACCUAUGGCGAAGGCAGCUCGCUGGGACGGUACUGACGCUGAGACGCGAAAGCGUGGGGAGCGAACAGG